GGAAUAUUGGACGAUGGGGGCAACCCUGAUCCAGCCAUGCCGCGUGCGUGAAGAAGGCCUUAGGGUUGUAAAGCGCUUUCACUGGUGAAGAUGAUGACGGUAGCCGGAGCAGAAGCCCCGUCUAACUCCGUGCAAACCGCCGCGGUAAUACGGAGGGGGCUAGCGUUGUUCGGAAUUACUGGGCGUAAAGGGCGCGUAGGCGGUAUGUCAAGUCAGGGGUGAAAGGCCUGGGCUCAACCCAGGAAUUGCCUUUGAAACUGGCAAACUAGAGUCCGAAAGAGGAUGGCGGAAUUCCCAGUGUAGAGGUGAAAUUCGUAGAUAUUGGGAAGAACACCGGUGGCGAAGGCGGCCAUCUGGAUCGGCACUGACGCUGAGGCGCGAAAGCGUGGGGAGCAAAC
rnacentral:rRNA from 1 species